rnacentral:rRNA from 10 species
GGAUGCCGAUCAUACCAGCACUAAAGCACCGGAUCCCAUCAACACUCCGAAGUUAAGCGUGCUUGGGCGAGAGUAUGUACUAGGGAUCCCAUCUGAACUCCGAAGUUAAGCGUGCU